rnacentral:lncRNA from 1 species
UUUUCCUCCUGAGAAAGGAUGUGAACGUGGCUUAUUGCGUGAACGCAAGGAGCGCUGGCGGUAAAGCAAGAUCCGACGAGUUCGCAGCCUUAUCCUGAGAAGGAAGAAAUGUUUCGUUACAUACAGAGUGUGCGAAUGGACUGCUGUGUGGAGUCAAGUAUUUAAUUUAUAAAGUAAAGCAAGUGACAUAUUACUCUGUGCUCAAGAAAUGAUGACAAUUAUUAACAUCAUUAUUUCAAGAUGAUGAGAAGUUGUGGGCAGACUCAGGGUAACUUUAUUCCCUGCCCUCCCUAAAAGCUCUACCCCGAGCAAGGCUACUGCUCAGGAACUCCAGCUAAGGUGGAAACAACAGCUAGCAAGCUUGUUUGAAAGGAUCGGUCAUGAACCUGCUGCUACUGCAUCUACCAGUGGGAAAGCUGAGGGUCGUGCGGGGUCACGGAGUUGGAGGAUAUCUGAACACCAUGGUCAUCAAUUUGGUGUGUCCUUCCAAUCGCUUUUCUUCAUAUAUGUAUUUAUUUUUAAUGUAUGUUACUGAUCUUUGUUACUUUAAAAAUAUUCAUAAAUAUGAUUACAUUAAGAUUUAAAACUUUUUGUAUUAAAAAUAAAAGUAAAAGAUAUAUGAGGGGCCAACCUGGUGGGAUAGUGGUUAAGUUCACAUGCUCCAUUUUGGUGGUCAGGGGUUUGCGUGUCCAGAUCCUGGGCGCGGACCUACACACUGCUCAUCAAGCUGUGCUGUAGUGGCUUCCUCUAUCCAAAAUAGAGGAAGACUGGCACAAAUGUUAGCUCAGGGCCAAUCUUCCUCAAGCAAAAAGAGGAAGACUGGCAACAGAUGUUAGAUCUGACCCUUUACGGAAAAAAGUUUGCUGACCCCUGGUAAGUGAGUA